rnacentral:rRNA from 1 species
CCUACGGGAGGCUGCAGUGGGGAAUAUUGCACAAUGGGGGAAACCCUGAUGCAGCGACGCCGCGUGAGUGAAGAAGUAUCUCGGUACGUAAAGCUCUAUCAGCAGGGAAGAAAAUGACGGUACCUGACUAAGAAGCCCCGGCUAACUACGUGCCAGCAGCCGCGGUAAUACGUAGGGGGCAAGCGUUAUCCGGAUUUACUGGGUGUAAAGGGAGCGUAGACGGCAGCACAAGUCUGGAGUGAAAUCCCGGGGCUUAACCCCGGAACUGCGUUGGAAACUGUGCGGCGGGAGUGCAGGAGGGGUAGGCGGAAUUCGUGGUGUAGCGGUGAAAUGCGGAGAUAUUGGGAGGAACAGCGGGGGGGAAGGCGGCUUACUGGACUGUAACUGACGUUGAGGCUCGAAAGCGUGGGGAGCAAACAGGAUUAGAUACCCGUGUAGUC